rnacentral:lncRNA from 1 species
CAUAAAAUGGGUAAAAAAUUGUCAUCAAGAAGCAAAAACUAUAUAGAGUGUUAUCCGAUGGAUUUCAUUAUUCAGCAUUUUUGUAUGUCUGUAUUGCUGACCUUUAUUUUUGUUUUGACAUUUUUUUCUGUCUAUGUAUUUUGAUUUUUAGAUAAUAAUGUGGUCUACAAGAUGUGUUUUUCAAUCAAAACUCAGAACGACGACCAACGGCUCAUAUCGUUUCUUGUGUUAAGAACAAACUUGUUGAAUUUUAUCAACAGGAGUGGCUAAAAGCAUUGGGACAUAUGCCUAAAUUACUAACAUAUAAACACAUAUAAACUACAAUGUAGAGCCAUACUUGAAAAAGUGUUUAUCAAGACAACAUCGAUCUAUGAUAGGCCGGAUGCGAAGCGGAUUUUACAUUUAGAAAUCGAAAAGGGCAAAACGCCUUUGUAAAAUGUGCAAGUCUCAAUCACUAGAGGACGAAUCCUAUCUCUUGCUGUUUUGUGAACGCUAUAAACAAUUACGAACAACAUUAUUUGAUGAUAUCCGAGAUAAGUAAAACAUAGACUUAACUACGCUACCAGCGAACAUCAAAUUAAAACAUUUAUUUUGUAAUUACAGAAAGUUUGUUUCUUACUUUAUUUUGAACUGUUUUACCAUCAGACAAUCUGUGACCAA